rnacentral:rRNA from 1 species
GACGAACGCUGGCGGCGUGCCUAACACAUGCAAGUCGAGCGGACGGUUACGAGAGUGUAGAGAUACAAAGGAGUGACUGUUAGCGGCGAACGGGUGAGUAACACGUGGGCAAUCUGCCCUCCGGGUCGGGAUAACAGACCGAAAGGCCUGCUAAUACCGAAUGAGGCGGCGACCUCGCAUGGGGAUGCCGUCAAAGGGGAAACCCGCCGGGGGAGGAGCCCGCGUCCCAUUAGCUAGUUGGUGAUGUAACGGACCACCAAGGCGAUGAUGGGUAGCCGGCCUGAGAGGGUGAACGGCCACAUUGGAACUGAGAACGGUCCAAACUCCUACGGGAGGCAGCAGUGGGGAAUAUUGGGCAAUGGGGGAACCCUGACCCAGCGACGCCGCGUGAGGGAAGAAGGUUUUCGGAUUGUAAACCUCUGUCCUUGGUGAAGAGAAGAAGACGGUAGCCAAGGAGGAAGCCCCGGCUAACUAUGUGCCAGCAGCCGCGGUAAUCGUGUAGUCGU